AAAACUACGAACUCGCAAACACGCGACAGAUAAAGAAUCGAAGAUACUACACAGAGACGUUAUUAUAUUCAUUGGUAAAUAUGGCAACAACAACUACAUAACAAACAAUGAAAAUGAAAAUACAAUAGCUCAACUAAAGGACAAGCUGUCUUUGAAUAUACCGAACCCUGAUGAAGGUACUUCUUAUAAGAUGAAUCUGCAAAAGAUAUUGCAGUUGGCUAUAAUCCAUGAGAACCCUGAAGCCUUGCAGAGGCUGUUAAGCAUCAUGUGCG